UACAGAGGUCUCAAGCGUUGUUCGGAUUCAUUGGGCGUAAAGGGUGUGUAGGUGGCGCCGUAAGUCGGGUGUGAAAUUUCGGAGCUUAACUCCGAAACUGCAUUCGAUACUGCGGUGCUUGAGGACUGGAGAGGAGACUGGAAUUCAUGGUGUAGCAGUGAAAUGCGUAGAGAUCAUGAGGAAGACCAGUGGCGAAGGCGGGUCUCUGGACAGUUCCUGAUACUGAGACACGAAGGCCAGGGGAGCAAACGGG
rnacentral:rRNA from 1 species